UCGGGGGUAGUUCAAAGGUAGAACGCCUGGUUCUGGUCCAGGAUGUUGGGGGUUCGAAUCCUCCCUCCCGAA
rnacentral:tRNA from 1 species